rnacentral:miRNA from 1 species
UCUUCUGGGUACCUUGUUAAAUGCAGACUCACAUUCUCUAAGCCUGAGAUUCUGUAUUUCUAACAAGCUCCCAGG